AGCGAACGCUGGCGGCAGGCCUAACACAUGCAAGUCGAACGAACCUUUCGGGGUUAGUGGCGGACGGGUGAGUAACACGUGGGAACGUGCCUUUAGGUUCGGAAUAACUCAGGGAAACUUGUGCUAAUACCGAAUGUGCCCUUCGGGGGAAAGAUUUAUCGCCUUUAGAGCGGCCCGCGUCUGAUUAGCUAGUUGGUUGAGGUAAUGGCCCACCCAGGCGACGAUCAGUAGCUGGUCUGAGAGGAUGAUCAGCCACAUUGGGACUGAGACACGGCCCAAACUCCUACGGGAGGCAGCAGUGGGGAAUCUUGCGCAAUGGGCGAAAGCCUGACGCAGCCAUGCCGCGUGAAUGAUGAAGGUCUUAGGAUUGUAAAAUUCUUUCACCGGGGACGAUAAUGACGGUACCCGGAGAAGAAGCCCCGGCUAACUUCGUG
rnacentral:rRNA from 1 species